AACGCGUGGGAACCUGCCUUUCUCUGCGGGAUAACGGUUGGAAACGACCGCUAAUACCGCAUACGCCCUACGGGGGAAAGGUCCGCCGGAGAAAGAGGGGCCCGCGUCUGAUUAGCUUGUUGGUAGGGUAAUGGCCUACCAAGGCAACGAUCAGUAGCUGGUCUGAGAGGAUGAUCAGCCACACUGGGACUGAGACACGGCCCAGACUCCUACGGGAGGCAGCAGUGGGGAAUAUUGGACAAUGGGGGCAACCCUGAUCCAGCAAUGCCGCGUGUGUGAUGAAGGCCUUAGGGUUGUAAGGCACUUUCACUGGUGAAGAUGAUGACGGUAACCAGAGAAGAAGCCCCGGCUAACUUCGUGCCAGCAGCCGCGGUAAUACGAAGGGGGCGAGCGUUGUUCGGAAUUACUGGGCGUAAAGGGCGCGUAGGCGGUCUUUUAAGUUAGGCGUGAAAGCCCCGGGCUCAACCCGGGAACUGCGCUUAAGACUGGAAGACUAGAAAACGGAAGAGGGUAGUGGAAUUCCCAGUGUAGAGGUGAAAUUCGUAGAUAUUGGGAAGAACACCAGUG
rnacentral:rRNA from 1 species